rnacentral:rRNA from 1 species
UACGUAGGUGGCAAGCGUUAUCCGGAAUUAUUGGGCGUAAAGCGCGCGCAGGCGGUCCUUCAAGUCAGAGGUGAAAGCCCAGAGCUCAACUCUGGAAUGGCCUUUGAGACUAGAGGACUUGGGUACGGGAGAGGUGAGUGGAAUUCCGAGUGUAGAGGUGAAAUUCGUAGAUAUUCGGAAGAACACCAGUGGCGAAGGCGGCUCACUGGCCCGUUACCGACGCUCAGGCGCGACAGCGUGGGGAGCAAACAGG